ACCUGGUUGAUCCUGCCAGUCGUGAUAUGCUUCUUUCAAGGACUAAGCCAUGCAUGUUUCAGAGUAUGCGAAUGCCAGAAAACCGUCGGUCUGCGAAUGGCUCAUUAAAUUCAGUUAUCACCUACCCAGUUGAGCAUUGAUGGUGACCUUGUGUCAAUUCUGCAGAUGCCGUGUGGAUAACCAUUCCAACUGGAUGGCUAAUACAUGAAAGAACAGUGCCGUGUCGGGGUGCUUAUGGCAUCAAGGUUUCUGCAGUUGAGGCGGGGCAACUUGCAUCGUGUGGGGCCUGUGACUGGCAUGCGAUCGAUCGCAUCAAAGAGCGGCGUUUCUGAUGGAAACAGUUUGCAUCGAUGAAUCAGAUUGAUCGUGUCAAAUGGCAAAAGCAGAGUGGCUGCAAUGUGUCGCUGCGAUACUGGAUGGAUUCCUGUCCCAUCAGCUGAAGAUUGUGUUGUCUUGGACCACAAUGGCCGUGACGGGUAACGGGGAAUUUGGGUUUGAUUCCGGAGAGGGGGUCUGAAAGACGGCCACCACUGCUAAGGCAGGCAGCAGGCACGAAAAUUGCCCAUUGCAAGCACAUUUGUGAGGCAGCGACGAAGAAUGGCAACAGUGCACACGGCUCUCCGUGAGUGUUGUUCGCAAUGGAUGACAAUCAAACUACUCAGUGAGUAUCAACUGGAGGGCAAGUCUGGUGCCAGCAGCCGCGGUAAUUCCAGCUCCAGCAGUGUAUACAAACAUUGCUGCUGUUAAAACGCUCGUAGUUGAUUGCAGAGUGGUGGGUGUUGUUCAGCCCUCGGCUCGGUUCUGUCAGCAUCAGCUGUCAGUCCGGCCUGUGGGUGACCACACAGGCUCUGCCUGUCCCUGGUCAGUUCAACUGUCCCACUGCUCGCCUGACAUGGAAUUGGUUCCUCUUGUUGGCAUAUUCUUCGGUGAUUAUGAGAACAGCCUCCGCACGAAAAGCAUGUGUUGGCUCUCGAAUCAGGGGCGUCCGUGGUGUUUACCAUGAACCAAACAGCGCGCCCACAGCGGCCGACUUGUUCGGAUGAAUGACAAAGCAUGGAAUGAAAAGGGAUCGACCAGCGAGCUGUCGUUUCUGCCUGUUCUUCAGCACUCUGUGGGAAAUGCGAGGCAAGGCGCAGUUCCUUCAGCAGACCUCAGUUGGCUUGGUGAGAUGGUUGUUGGUGCCUCGUGUGCCAGCUUCCCACUCGAUCCAUGCCCACCUGAACUGCCGGAAUUGCUGCCUACCAUCGAUCGGUUGUGAUGAGCAUUCUCUGGGCCUUUCAUACCGGUUGGAGAGAGGUGAAAUUCUUGGACCCACCUGUGAUGAACGGCAGCGAAGGCGUUAUCUUUGCAAGUGGCUGACCGUCGAUCAAGAACGAGAGUGUGGGGAUCGAAGAUGAUCAGAUACCGUCGUAGUCCAUUUCUGUAAACGAUGCCAGCUCGGUUUGGGGCAUGAUCUUCUUAACUGAACGUCAUGCUCUGAGCCUCCUUAUCGAGAAAUCCACAAAGCGUUUGGGUUCAGGGGGGAGUACAUUCGCAAGAACGAAACUUGAAGGAAUUGACGGAAUGACACCACAAGGCGUGGAGUMUGCGGCUUAAUUUGACUCAACCCGGGGAAUGUUACCAGGUCAUGACGCAGCGAUGAUGGACAGAUUGAGAGCUCUUUCUUGAUCCUUUGGAUGGUGGUGCAUGGCCGUUCCUGGUUCGUGGAGUGAUCUGUCUGGUUGAUUCUGAUAACGAGCGAGAUCUCUGCCUUUUCAUAGUUGCCAGCCUCGAUUUGGUAGAGCAAUCUGUUCAUCCAUGGUUGUCAGGUUGGUGUUCUCGAGGGGCAACCCAAAAAGGGCACUGAUUUGGCUUCCAUUAAUGGGUGUUCAGCCCGUUGCUCGAGAGGCAGGAUUCAUUCUCAGAGGAUCCAC
rnacentral:rRNA from 1 species